CAGAUUCAGAUACAAAUUGUUGCUGUUCCAGAAGUAGUGCAUUUGCCAACAUAGUAAAGUCAUUGGAGUCAUUAACUUACCAGUGAUGUUCAUAACAUUUGUACUCAAAUGUUUGGCAAGUUCACAAUGCUAGCAACACUUGCUCAGUAAUGUUACCUACUAUCAGAUGUUGGGGGAAAACUUUUCAUUUGUGGUAGUCUCAAGAAAAUAUCAAAAUGUUUGGGUCAGUGUAUUCUGAGUGAAACAACUGAAGGUCAUUCAGCAUUAUAGAAAUGUGUACCUGUCUACUGGCCUCGCUG
rnacentral:sRNA from 1 species